AAAAAAAAAAAAACCAGCUCGUAUGGUUUAGGCUGUCCACAUUGUGCUUAUACAGCUAUAUUUCCUCAAACUGAGAAGUCUAGUAAACCGUUGCUACAACUGAAAGCGCGUCCAUGGUUUCGGCGAAGGUCGAGGGUGUGAAUGGUGGGCUUUUACGAGCAGUAUAAAUACAAAGAGCGUAGUCUCGCGCUGGAUUAAGUGCGCUGGGACGUCCUGAAGCAGGAUUACAGCAGAGAUCUGCAGCUAUGGCUGACACUUUACGACGACUGGUCAACUCAUCUCCGUAUGGUGUUUUGCAGGACAAACUUGAAGCUUGGUACAAAGACUAUCAUGUGUUCUCUUGUGACCAGAACCUGAAUAGGUGCUGUGAGCUAGUGGAGCUCACCUCUAAGAUCCAGGGUCAGUUGUUCACCAUACUCAACCUUACAGCGCAAGAAGGGGGACAUUAUUCAGGUGUAGACACACUGAAAUCUCGCCUUUUGCCAUGGCUUGGCUCUUGCUUCACCAUUGCAGCUUCGUCUGUCUCCGCAGAUACCAGCCUUAGCCUCAUUCAGGAAUCUGUGGAUAAAGAUCGGAGGAUUCGUGAACUAUCCUCAGUUCAUGAGAGCGACAUGCACAAAAUAGAAGACAAGCUGUGUUCUACACGUAUGGAGUUGGACACAGUUAAACAGGAGCUUGCUGACACCCAGAUUGAACUGGACUCCACAAAGAAUAAAUCUGUAACCACCCUCUUGGCCACAGAGGAUGAAAUACUACAUCUAAAGGCAGACUUGCGAGUUGCUCAAGAUCAGGUUGAUCUGUAUAAGAGAAAGCUGGAUGUACUUGAUGACUAUGAGAGGCAGGUCAGAAUCCUACGAGACGAGAUCUCGUUUCUCACUGCUGAAAAAACUGUUCUACAGGAGAGAUUGGUCAGGAGCUGUUCACCUAGUCCUCUUCCCCGCCGCAGUCGCUCCGUUAGCCCUGUGAGGAGUGAGUCUCCUACACGCGCACAGCUCACCAGUUCCUCUCGGCACGCGCGGCUAGUGUCCCGCUUCUCAGACCUGUACGCCACAGAGCGACUGGAGUCUCAGAGUCUCCUGCGCAGAUACAUCGACGACAUGGAAACAGUCCAGAGGAUCCUUUUUAUCGCUGUUGUGGAAUCAUUCCAGGCUGCCAAGAUGGCCUAUCGGCAGUUUAAAUCACGUGUGAGGAAGACACUUUCCUCCACUCACAUUGGUCCUGAGAGUCUGGAGGAUGCAGUGGUGGAUUACAUUGUGAGAAAUCUGGAUCUGUAUGACGUGCAGACAAGCGUUAAUGAUGUGAUAAACGCGAUGAACGUAAACCCACGCAUCUCUUUCCCUCCUGAGGUGGACUUUGUUCUGAUCAGUAGCUUCAUUAGGGAAGCAUGUCGAAUAGCUUUCGCUAUGCAGACUCUGGACCCAGCACUGGACCUGGCCUUCAGCUCAGAUGGAGAACUCUACAGUGAUGUUAAGUACAGGCGCAGCUUUGACUCGGAGUUCACCGCUCCGCUUGUGGCGCAUCACGUGUGGCCUGCACUGUUGGAGGGAGACACGGUCAUACUGAAGGGAGAGGCGGUCACUAGGAGAGGAGCUCUGUGGAGAAGCAGGAGUCGUAGCUCCAGUCCGGUUCGCUCUCGCUCAGGAAGCCCCAGCCGCACAUUUGUGAGUUUCUACUGACAACUCCAGCAGUUAGUCUUCCAAUUCAAGCAAUAAUUCACAUACAAAUAUUAAAUUGUUAUUAUUUACACACCUUUACAUGUUUCUAUGGGACAUAAAGUUAUUUAUAGCAGAAUGUUUAAAGGUGCUGUUUUCUUUUAUAAUGAAAGCGACUUGUGUCCAAAGCUGUCAAGCAAGAUUUUCAGUGAAUAAUGAUUUAAGUCAGCCUGUUGCUCACACAAAACGAUCAUAUUUUUAAAGUUAAUUUAUGGUGUGUGUUGGAGCUUGACAACCCAUGGUCCCCAUCCACUUUCACUGCAUGAAAGAGAGCAGCUUAGACUUUCUGCUAAACCUCUGCUAAGCUUGAUCCAGGUUUAGAGAAAAAGGGUGAACAAACUGUCAGAAUUUUCAUUUUGUGGCAAACUAUUCCUAAAACAUUAUAGUCCACAAUAUAGUAUACAGUCCACAAUUCAGUGUGCGCAUUAGUUUAGAAAUUAAGUUUUCUUCAUUUUCUUGCACAUGCUUCCUCACUGAGUCUGUGGAUGCCCAGUCGUAGUCGAAGCCCUUCCCCUGGACGUCUCUCAAGUAAUCGACUUUAAAAUUAGAUAUGACCUCACUUCACGCUGGAUACAGAUCCAAACAGAAGCAGAAUAAUCAAAAAAAAAAUUUUUUUUUCCAGUUUUAACAUAUUCUUUUCUAUGUGUGGGAUGAAUUAGAAACUAAAGUGGAUAACAGUUACCUUUAUUACUGACUCUGUACCUAUGAAGAAUGGAGUCAUUUGUCAUUUUUAAACAGACUGCACUAUUAUUUACAAGCUCCACCUUAAUAUUCUGAGUGGACUGCACUUGACUUGACUGUACUUGAUUUGAUUGGCCAGUUAAACCUUAAUUAUAUUUGAUCAGCACCAUGAAUAUGCAUUAUACUGAUCUGUGACUCAAAGUGAGGGAACAGCUCUCUAAACGUUAACAUUUUACUCAGUGAGUCUAACAGGACCAUUGCAAUUUUACACUACCAUUUUUUCAUUCAUAUUUGUAAUACAUUUUUGAAUGGUGGUGUAUGUGCUUGUUAAGGUGCUCUGUUUGUCUGUGAUAACUGGACAAGUCCUUUAAGGUGCUAUUCUUUCUCAUUUUUAGUGUGCAGUGUUUUCAUACAUAUAUAUGUGAUUUUUAUUUAUACAGUAGGAAAUAGAAAAUCUGUUGUCUUCGAAGUCACACCUGCACACCAGCACUUUUGUAAUUCGGAAUCCCUAUAGAAUAUUAAUAUUUAAAAUUUUUAUUUCUGUCAUCACUGCAUAAAAGUGCUGUAUGUGAAGUGUUUACUGAACUGUAGUACAUAAUCUGUAGACACUAAAACAAUAUUUUACAUUCAUUGAAUGUAUUUUCCCUUUAAGACCACUUUUAAUGUCAAUUUGUAUUUUUUCCUAAUGUUGGUGUUAUUAUUAUUAUUAUUUUUUUUAUUGGGUGCAAAAGAAUCAGACUGCAGUGUUACAGUAUAAGUUUAAGGGUGCUCAGUCUGUUCUUCUGUCAUGGUUACUCAAAUCAUUUAUUAAAUUUGUCUAAACAUACAAA